AACGAACGCUGGCGGCAUGCCUAACACAUGCAAGUCGAACGAGACCUUCGGGUCUAGUGGCGCACGGGUGCGUAACGCGUGGGAACCUGCCCUUAGGUUCGGAAUAACUCCCCGAAAGGGGUGCUAAUACCGGAUAAUGUCUUCGGACCAAAGAUUUAUCGCCUUUGGAUGGGCCCGCGUUGGAUUAGCUAGUUGGUAGGGUAAAAGCCUACCAAGGCGUCGAUCCAUAGCUGGUCUGAGAGGAUGAUCAGCCACACUGGGACUGAGCCACGGCCCAGACUCCUACGGGAGGCAGCAGUGGGGAAUAUUGGACAAUGGGCGAAAGCCUGAUCCAGCAAUGCCGCGUGAGUGAUGAAGGCCUUAGGGUUGUAAAGCUCUUUUACCCGGGAUGAUAAUGACAGUACCGGGAGAAUAAGCUCCGGCUAACUCCGUG
rnacentral:rRNA from 1 species